CCCUGCAGUUGCCUGUGGACCUUUUUACCUGGGGCUGUUUGGUUCCAGUCUGCUCUGAGCUGGUGGAGACCCAAAGCUACAGCCAGGUCAAGCUCCUUGGACUCUGCCUCUGCCACUGACCUUCUCUGCAGCCUGAGGCAAGUCCCUGCGUUCUUCAGGAUUUCUGCCUCUCCUUCUACCUCUCCUUCGUUUGCUUGAACGGUGUGUGCUGGAGGCCAAGCAGGAUUUCUAAGCAUGUGUAUCUUGCCUAGAGCAACAGAGCCCUGAUUUCAUUUGGGGACUGAGCUGCUGCAGCACAGAAGAAUGAACUCAUUCCCACCUCUGCAUCUCCCACAAAGUGCUUUGGUACCAGAAUGAAGUGGCAUUUAAUGAGCGAGUGACACCGUCUCACAGUCAAUGUCAAGGGAGAAUGAGGGACAUGGUGUGUCUAUUUAACCAGGUAUUCCUUUCAGUUCAAGUCUGUAUUUUUUGGAAAUAAAGGAACAAGAUUCUUGUCUGGAGUCCCAAGGUGUUAAUACGGCAGCAGAGCCUGCAGUCCAUGGAUCUGUUUCGAGCACCUUGCAGUAGCAGUUGGAGCAGUAAUGGGCAUCAAAGCAUGCUGGGGAAAGCAGGAUUAAUAGAACCCAGUGGGAGACAAGUCGCAUCGUUAUCUGCUGAUGACGUGAUUAGGACUUUUCAACAGAAGCAUCGGUGUGUUCUGGGGGGGGCUCAUCAUCUGGCUUGGGCUCUAACUAUCGUUCAAUCAUAAAAUAUUUUCAGUUGUUGGCAGGUGGAAAAUAGGAGUCUUUUAAGGGAAGAUUUUUUUAAGACAGUUUGAGCACUCUUAGAGGACAGUCAAUACAAAGGGAGGUCGUACUAAUUGUUGAAAUCAAGGUUAUCUGAAGCCAAUGGGAGAAACGCUCACAGUCCCAGACUUUUAUCACAGCAAGCCUCAGAAGUCCUGCUCACAAAGCGUUAGACCUUGUGCCAACUCAUGCAGCCAUCUCUGAAAAGGAUGCUUCAAGACACACAGAGCAUUAUAAAUUGAUGCCCACAUGAAUGUGUAUUCUCACUCCCUGCAGUAAAUGUAAACCCUGUUUUGUUAAGAAUUCCUGGCAAGAUUCCUCUGUUUCCUUCCUAAAAGCAAACAAGAAGUCAGAGGACUUACAGCAGUACAAAAAAAAAAUA